rnacentral:rRNA from 1 species
AAAUUGAAGAGUUUGAUCAUGGCUCAGAUUGAACGCUGGCGGCAGGCCUAACACAUGCAAGUCGAACGGUAACAGAAAGCAGCUUGCUGCUUUGCUGACGAGUGGCGGACGGGUGAGUAAUGUCUGGGAAACUGCCUGAUGGAGGGGGAUAACUACUGGAAACGGUAGCUAAUACCGCAUAACGUCGCAAGACCAAAGAGGGGGACCUUCGGGCCUCUUGCCAUCGGAUGUGCCCAGAUGGGAUUAGCUUGUUGGUGGGGUAACGGCUCACCAAGGCGACGAUCCCUAGCUGGUCUGAGAGGAUGACCAGCCACACUGGAACUGAGACACGGUCCAGACUC